rnacentral:rRNA from 1 species
AUUGAACGCUGGCGGCAGGCUUAACACAUGCAAGUCGAACGAGUGGCGGACGGGUGAGUAAUGCUUGGGAAUCUAGCUUAUGGCGGGGGAUAACUACUGGAAACGGUAGCUAAUACCGCAUACCAUCCGAUGAACCCAUAUGGGAUUAGCUUGUAGGGGGGGUAACGGCUCACCUAGGCGACGAUCCCUAGCUGGUCUGAGAGGAUGAUCAGCCACACGGGGACUGAGACACGGCCCAGACUCCUACGUGAGGCAGCAGUGGGGAAUAUUGCACAAUGGGCGCAAGCCUGAUGCAGCCAUGCCGCGUGUAUGAAGAAGGCCUUAGGGUUGUAAAGUACUUUCAGCGGGGAGGCGUUACCCGCAGAAGAAGCACCGGCUAACUCCGUGCCAGCAGCCGCGGUAAUUC